ensembl:lncRNA
CCUUCCAAAAAUGAGCUGCUGGCAGCAUGUACACAGCUUGGUGUGUCUUCUGCUGGCUCUGCCUCAGAUAUUAUCAUCAUAAUGUUAUUAUAAUGAUAAUAAUAAUAUCAUUAAUCAUUUGGAGGAGGUUCUUCUUUACAAAGACAUUUACCCCAAAAUGUUCAUUAAAUUGCAGAAGACUGGAGGUGGUGUUCUUCAUUUUGGAUGCCCACAUGCCAUUGUUUAUUGUUCCUCACCUCUUUGGUGGCAAGAGUCAGCGAGGGACCACAUUGAUGCACUUGAGUUUAAAAACUCCACCGACUAUGUACAUUUCAGAUGUAGCUGGACGUGUUGCAUGACACGCCAACAACAGAUUUCGCCAGGCAUUUUUCAGGCCUUUUGAUGGCAGACUGUGUGAAGCCACAGCUGAAAAUGUGGCCAGGGCUUCAUCCAAGGAGCUUGUUGUCCAUUUACCCUGGGUUAAAACCAUAAAAGAAGGUGGACCUGUCCAGAGUCAAAAUAAUUGAGGCACAGAAGCACUUGACAAACCUCAACCCAUCACAGGAAAAUCAGAUAGGUUUUCGUUGUACAACCGCUUUCAUCAGCAUAACCAAAAACAGGAAAAAGAGAAACUGAGAAGCCUUGAUCUUGUCCCAGAGCUCACUGUUCUCAUCAACUCUUCCAUGGCAAAGCAUAACUGGGAGCUUGCAAAUUCUUGAUACUUUCUUUGCCAGUUGAAAGAUAUUCAUUAUAUGUUUGCACUUCGAUUGGUGUUCUAUUUGCAUAACAGCAGAGUGAACAAAGCAUUUAUGGACAAAAUGCUAAGGUAGACACAAGGGUCAGCUGAAUUUGGACUGGAGGGAAGACUGUGCCUCUUCACUACAUGUGAGAUUGAUAGAAAUUUUAUCUUAAUUUGUAUGUUAAUCUUAUAACUACCUUGCAUAAAUGUUGAUCUAAACACUGUGUAUUGAUACAGAUAUACUGUAGGCACUCACUCAACAUUAAAAAAACCUGACUAUAUGAAAAAAAAAGAAGAAAAAAUUCAUCCCAUGGGAAGGACAACACUUCAGCACAUCAGUUUUCCCCAUCUUGAAGGAAAACAAGGUAUUUUUCAAUUUAAAAAACCAUGCCAUGUUGGAAAUAUCAUCAUAAUAAUGGUUUUCAUUAUACAUGUCACUUGUAGGACAAGCUUUCUGAACUGUACUCCACUGUACAAAAUGAUGCUUCUGUCCUUGUGCAAAUGAACAACUGUAUAAUAACAAUUAAGGACCUACUGACAAUCCUGCACAGUCCAUUUCGCCCGGAUCAGAAGACAUCCGUUGUGACUGAUGAUGUAUGUACACUGUUUUUUGUAUGUUAAUGUGUUUUGAAGAAAAUAUGUAUUAAUGUUUUUAUCUAUAAUAGGCUGUCAACACUAGAGUAGCACAGCUUGCAUCUACAACACCCAUUGUGAGUUUAAAUACCUUUUUAAAAUUAUUAGAUUAGAUUAGAUUAAAAAAUAACUUAUGAAGUUAUAAUUAAUUUAUAAUCAGAAUUCAUUGUAAAUAAAUUGCAAUUCAAAGUUAUAAUUCA